ensembl:snRNA U2 U2 spliceosomal RNA
AUUACUUAUUGGCCUUUGGGCUAAUAAUAAAUGUAAUAUCUGUUAUUAUCAGUUUAAUAUCUGAUAUGUCCCCCAUCCAAGAACAAUGUAUUCCAUGUAGGAACAGAGACAAAAAAUAU